rnacentral:rRNA from 1 species
GACGAACGCUGGCGGCGUGCUUAACACAUGCAAGUCGAACGAGGUCCACCGCGUAGCAAUACAAGGGAAGACCUAGUGGCGAACGGGUGCGUAACACGUGAGAAACCUAUCCUGGUCUCUGGGAUAACAGUUGGAAACGACUGCUAAUACCGGAUGCCGUCGGAGCACCGCAUGGUGCACUGACGAAAGGGUUACCGGAUCAGGAGGGUCUCGCGGCCUAUCAGCUUGUUGGUGGGGUAAUGGCCUACCAAGGCAUCGACGGGUAGCUGGUCUGAGAGGAUGAUCAGCCACACUGGGACUGAGACACGGCCCAGACUCCUACGGGAGGCAGCAGUGGGGAAUCUUGCGCAAUGGGCGAAAGCCUGACGCAGCAACGCCGCGUGCGGGAAGAAGGCUCUCGGGUUGUAAACCGCUUUCAGAAGGAACGAAAAUGACGGUACUUUCAGAAGAAGGUGCGGCCAACUACGUGCCAGCAGCCGCGGUAAGCUCGUCUCUA